rnacentral:rRNA from 1 species
AACGAACGCUGGCGGCAGGCCUAACACAUGCAAGUCGAGCGAGAUCUUCGGGUCUAGCGGCGGACGGGUGAGUAACGCGUGGGAAUAUGCCUCUUGGUACGGAAUAGCCUCGGGAAACUGGGAGUAAUACCGUAUGUGCCCUUUGGGGGAAAGAUUUAUCGCCAAGAGAUUAGCCCGCGUUGGAUUAGGUAGUUGGUGGGGUAAUGGCCUACCAAGCCGACGAUCCAUAGCUGGUUUGAGAGGAUGAUCAGCCACAUUGGGACUGAGACACGGCCCAGACUCCUACGGGAGGCAGCAGUGGGGAAUCUUAGACAAUGGGGGCAACCCUGAUCUAGCCAUGCCGCGUGAGUGAUGAAGGCCUUAGGGUUGUAAAGCUCUUUCAGCUGGGAAGAUAAUGACGGUACCAGCAGAAGAAGCCCCGGCUAACUCCGUGCCAGCAGCCGCGGUAAUACGGAGGGGGCUAGCGUUGUUCGGAAUUACUGGGCGUAAAGCGCACGUAGGCGGACCAGAAAGUUGGGGGUGAAAUCCCGGGGCUCAACCCCGGAACUGCCUUCAAAACUAUUGGUCUGGAGUUCGAGAGAGGUGAGUGGAAUUCCGAGUGUAGAGGUGAAAUUCGUAGAUAUUCGGAGGAACACCAGUGGCGAAGGCGGCUCACUGGCUCGAUACUGACGCUGAGGUGCGAAAGCGUGGGGAGCAAACAGG